GAAGAACCGGAUGGUGUUCGAGCUUGCGAUCUCGAGCCACACUUGGGCGCAACGCUGGAGCAGCUCGUUUCUUUAUGCCUUGGAGCGCGUUUAUGAACUUCAUCCGACCAAACACCAGAGAAAAGAGUGAUGCUGAUACAGACACACAAGUUUUUUUGGCAGUGGAAUAUGUUAACUGGACAAACUGCUGCAAGCGUUGCAUAGCAACAUGCAUUGAAGCUGCUUUGUCAUGCGACUCUCACGCUACCUGCGUUGGAACCAGAUGGCUCACAUGAAAAGAUUCAGGUGUCUCAGCAGCAGCACACCCACCCGUUGUUGGUCAC